rnacentral:rRNA from 1 species
AUUCCGGUUGAUCCUGCCGGAGGACAUUGCUAUUGGGAUUCGAUUUAGCCAUGCUAGUCGAGCGAGUUCAGACUCGCGGCGAAUAGCUCAGUAACACGUGGCCAAGCUCCCCUUCAGUCAGCGAUACCCUCGGGAAACUGAGGUUAACAGCUGAUACAAAACGCCAGCUGGAAUGCGGCGUUUCAGAAAGACACCGCUGAAGGAUGCGGCUGCGGCCGAUUAGGUAGACGGUGGGGUAACGGCCCACCGUGCCAGUAAUCGGUACGGGUGAUGAGAGUCAGAGCCCGGAGACGGAAUCUGAGACAAGAUUCCGGGCCCUACGGGGCGCAGCAGGCGCGAAACCUUUACACUGCACGGAAGUGCGAUAGGGGAAUCCCAAGUGCGAGGGCAUAUUAGCCCUCGCUUUUCUCGACUGUAAGGUGGUCGACGAAUAAGAGCUGGGCAAGACCGGUGCCAGCCGCCGCGGUAGUACCGGCAGCUCAAGUGAUGUCCCAUAUUAUUGGGCCUAAAGCGUCCGUAGCU